ACUGAUUAUUUUAUUUUAUAUUUAUACAGUUAUAUAUAUAUUCACCAGGUCAGGUAGUAAUUCAAAUUUGCGCAUACGUUAAUUAUUACGAAACAGAAUAGAUAUAUUAAUUGGAACUAUAUAUAACCUGCGCAUGCAUAUGGUGGUUGUUUAAUUAAUAUCCAUUUGUUCAUCAAUGUACAUCAGACCAUUAAUUAAUUACACUAGAGGAAGUGGAAGCUACUAGUCUGGUGAUGCAAUGCACGCUGUUCGGACGAUAAGUCCCUCGAUCGAUCCUGGGGAUCUGGUUCUUAAUUAGGUGUAUUAAAUAUUAAUUGCUCUGACUAUGUGUUCAAUAUUUCUGGUUGGAGUGAGUAUAAAUAAUUCGGUAGAUGGAAAUUAAGGUGCCCAUUCGUCCCUAGAAGGUGGUAGGUUUUAUGCUCAAUAAUAAUAUUUUUUCUAAAUAUGUUAUGAUACUUAAAAAGCAUUCAAUAGUUUGGCGUUUAUAAAUUUUUUAUUAUUAGAUUUAUUUUUUUGACCAUUUAUUGACGUUAGAUAAUACUCUUUAGCCANUAUUCACCAGGUCAGGUAUUAAUUCAAACUUGCACAUACGUUAAUUAUUACGAAACAGAAUAUAUAUAUUAAUUGGAACUAUAUAUAACCUGCGCAUGCAUAUGGUGGUUGUUUAAUUAAUAUCCAUUUGUUCAUCGAUGUACAAUAGACCAUUAAUUAAUUACACUAUAGAGGAAGUGGAAGCUACUAGUCUCGUGAUGCACGCUGUUCGGACGAUAAGUCCCUCGAUCGAUCCUGGGGAUCUGAUUCUUAAUUAGGUGUAUUAAAUAUUAAUUGCUCGGACUAUGUGUUCAAUAUUUCUGGUUGGAGCGAGUAUAAAUAAUUCGGUAGAUAGAAAGGUGCCCAUCAGUCCCUAGAAGGUGCAUGGUAGGUUUUAUGCUCAAUAAUAAUAUUUUUUUCUAGGUAUGUUAUGAUACUCGUAAAAGUAUUGAAUAGUUUGGCGCUUAUAAAUUUUUUAUUAUUAGAUUUGUUUUUUUGAUCAUUUAUUGACGUUAGAUAAUACUAUUAAGCCAACCAUCCAAUCAACUCUAAAAUAUUGCUAUUUGAUUAUUUUCCUUCAUUAGAUAAUAUUAUUCAAUCAAUUCCGGGCCCCUAUAUACUCAACCUUUGAGAACUAUUAUUCUCCUAAUUAGCCUCACAUCCUUUCACCCAAGGGUCGAAAAUUUAAUAGCACUAAUGACUUAAUACUAUUAAUAGCUUUAGUUCUCUCUCUAUAUAUAUAUACAUAUAUAAAAAAUUAAAAUAGGCCAUUCUGAAUAAAAUACCCGUUAAUAUGACAAGGAAAAAAUGAUGACUUUUAGAUGAUCAGUAGAGUAUAAAAUACACCCCAAUUUAGGAUUGUUAGUUGUAUUGCUUAACGUGUCAAAAUUUUUAUAUUUUAAUAAAGUCACUAUUUUAUCCUUAGUCGUAAUAAGCAAUUAAUGUUGACCAAUUUGCUUGGAUAGUGAGACCAAACUCUACUACGUAGGUACCUUUUAUUAGUAAAUUAAAGCUGUUUAAUCUAUUUCGGUUUCUUUCAUAAUAUUUUUUUUAUUACUAAUUAGAGGGAUUAAUAUGUAAUAUUCUAAACCUAAUCAUAGCAUAUAUAUUUUUUAUUGCUCCUUUUUUACUCGGAGUUACAAAUAAAAAUUCGGAAUCUGCUUUGCAAGGUGUACAUGUCUAUACGCCAUCUGUGGGCAUCAUCGAAUCAAAAUAAAUAAAUAAAUACUUAAAUAAUUAAAAAGAUGAACUUCACCGAGACAAUUCUAGUUGUGUAAACAAUAAAAUUGACUGACUAAUUAUAUUUAAAAAGUUUUAUAUACGCCAUAUAGAAUUCUUCUUAAGCGGAAACAUAUAUAAUAAAUGAUCGUUCAACGGUGGAGAAUAAUAAUCAAAUUCAAAUGGAUGUAUAGUAAUCAGCAGCGAAUAUUGAGUCGCUCAAUUAAAGAUUGAAGACCUAGUUGACUCAGCUCCCCAUUAAUUACUGAUUAUGUUAAAUCUUUUAAUUAAUUUAAGGCGAUUAUUACUAGUUACAUUACUAUUAUUAUUUUUUAUUUUAUUAGUAUGUUAUCAAUCUAAGCCAACACUUACUUUUCAAAUCACUGGUUGUUAUCAUUAUAGUACCAUCAUUAAAGUCAGACAUUCCAAGUCUCGCUAGCUAGCGCGUUCAACAGAGAGGCUUUGAAACCUG
rnacentral:lncRNA from 1 species